rnacentral:tRNA from 2 species
GGUGUUAUGGCAGAGUGGUUAUUGCGGGGUACUGUUAAUACUCUUUACAAGGGUUCGAUUCCUUUUAACGCCU